GACGAACGCUGGCGGCGUGCUUAACACAUGCAAGUCGAGCGAUGAAGCACCUUCGGGUGUGAAUUAGCGGCGAACGGGUGAGGAACACGUGAAGAAUCUGCCUUCAACUCUGGGAUAACUCCGGGAAACCGGGGCUAAUACCGGAUAUGAGCCUUGAUCGCAUGAUCGGGGCUGGAAAGUUUUUCGGUUGAAGAUGACUUCGCGGCCUAUCAGCUUGUUGGUGAGGUAAUGGCUCACCAAGGCGACGACGGGUAGCCGGCCUGAGAGGGCGACCGGCCACACUGGGACUGAGACACGGCCCAGACUCCUACGGGAGGCAGCAGUGGGGAAUAUUGGGCAAUGGAGGAAACUCUGACCCAGCGACGCCGCGUGAGGGAUGAAGGCCUUCGGGUUGUAAACCUCUUUCAGUAGGAAGAAGCGAAAGUAGACGGUACCUACAGAAGAAG
rnacentral:rRNA from 1 species